rfam:TPA: Bos taurus chromosome 3, whole genome shotgun sequence.
UGGCUCAGAUGGUAAAGCGUCUGUCUGCAAUGCAGCAGACCCGGGUUCGAUCCCUGG